AUGAUGGUAGGUGACGGAACCUCUACCCUCUUCUGGGAGGACCGAUGGAUCGAGGGUAGGUCGAUCUCUGAGACCACGCCUGAGCUACUUCUCCUAGUCUCGAGGCAUAUUCAGAAGCGCCGUACCAUUCGCGAGGCUAUCACUGAUAGGCGGUGGAUCAUGUACACCCGUGGUCACACUUAA
rnacentral:rRNA from 1 species